CCCGUUUUUAUAUUUUACCAUCUAAUGAAGGUCUAUAACUAGUAGAACUGCUAGAUGCGUGGAAUGAGCUGUUCCUGGCUAAAGAUAGAAAUUCAGUGGAGGAAGGAGGAGGAAUUGAAUCCUCUGUAGAGAAGCAGCUACACUUCUAUCAAAUAAAGCCAUUAUUUGCCGUUCUUUAGAAACUCUUCUUUCACAAUGUGAUCUUAUCAGUACCUUGAUAUUCAGGCUGUUCAGGUAAAGGUGAAGUUAAAUAACUGGUUGCUCAUUAAAAGAGUUAAUUAAACCAGCUCUCAUUUGAAACAAUGUUUUCUUGACCAGAUCCCUAGCCUCCAGGAUCUGAAGAUUCAGUUAACUCUUCACUGCCCACCUUCAAAAUCUACUUGUGGAUUUGCUCUUAUUUUACACCAGUUGGAUCUUCUCCUAGACUGUCCUACAGAUAAUUAACCACCUGCCAGUGCAGCAGAGAAUCACAUUGACCAUCUUGAUCCAGCUCUGACUCCUUGGUGUUCAAAUACUAAACUGUAGAUUAUAAAGAAGAAGUCUGGAGACAUUACCAUCACCAAAUCAAUUAUCAUUGAUGAGUAAGGUUCUCCAUAAGGUUUUGUGUCAAAUGAUUUUGGGUCUGGCAAAGAGUCAUUUAAAGAGGAUACACAUUUAAAUUUAAUAAGGGGAGAAAUGAGUACCAUUCUUCUUGGACAACCAAGUGUAUCAUUUUUAGCUCCACCUCAGAACAGUAAAUAAUGGGUUAGAAGCCACUUGGAAAUUCCUUCUUGGAACAUUACUGGCUGAAAUACUUGCUACCCUGAGGAGAAUUUUUCAGCAUUCCAUAAGAAAUACGAUACCUGCCUCCCAGAAAUCUGGACUACAAAUUGUGAAGAUGACAAAAAAUAUCUAAAGUAAGGUAGAUAAGUUGGCCAGUUUUUAAGUGGAGAUCUGCAGGUGAGCUCACCCUUUUGGCCAACAGAAAGAACUCUCUUUUAAACCUCAAGAAGCCAUCUCCCAGUAUCCGACUAUUGUAUCACAAAACAUCCCAGCCCAAACCUCAACACCUGAAUUGCAGAAUGUUGUUUGAUAUGAUCAUGAGAGCUAAAAGAAAAGGUCAACAGAAACACAAAGACGGUGAAAACUGACUCCUUUGACUCUGCAGUAAAAGAACCUAGACUUGUCAAAGAAAUGCACAACAACCCUCCGCAACUUCUGUUCCCUAGAAGUCAAGAAGUGGUGAAACAGGCAAGGCACCCUUUUAACCAAAGGAGCUUCUUCCACUAGGUGGGGAGCGAAGCCAACUACCCAGACCAAUACCCAGCCUUCAAUAGUGUGAUGAACCUGAAUUUUUCAGAAUAAGAGCUUAAAGUUUAUUUAAGGAAACCAAGGAAAAAAACGAGCACAUUCGCCAUAACAGUUGCCCCUGUCUGCUGGUCUUCUUGCAUAUGCAUUCUGGGAAGUGAGGGAUAACUUCUUCAUCUCAUGAAAAUCUUCACAUAUUCUGGGUUGUAUCCAACCAUGUCUUUCUGUCCAUGCAAGGCCUACUGCUUGUGCAAUGGAACUUCCCCUCUCACUCCUCCCC
rnacentral:lncRNA from 1 species